GCCUAGUUAGCUUAGUUGGUAGUGCGUCUGCCUUGUAAGCGCUAGGCCCCGGGUUCGAUUCCCGCCCGGGGCG
rfam:Asian citrus Psyllid, Diaphorina citri - Florida Strain, whole genome shotgun sequence.